UACCAGCACCCCGAGUGGUCGGGACGAUUAUUGGGCCUAAAGCAUCCGUAGCCGGUUUUACAAGUCCUCCGUUAAAUCCAGCUGCUUAACAGAUGGGCUGCGGAGGAUACUAUAAGACUAGGAGGCAGGAGAGGCAAGCGGUACUCAGUGGGUAGGGGUAAAAUCCGUUGAUCCAUUGAAGACCACCAGUGGCGAAGGCGGCUCACUGGACCGGUACUGACGCUGAUGCGCGAAAGCGUGGGGAGCAAACAGG
rnacentral:rRNA from 1 species